UACGAAGGGGGCGAGCGUUGUUCGGAUUUACUGGGCGUAAAGGGCGCGCAGGCGGCUCAUUUUGUCAGGCGUGAAAGCCCCGGGCUUAACCUGGGAACUGCGUCUGAGACGGAUGGGCUAGAGUUCGGGAGAGGAGAGUGGAAUUCCCAGUGUAGAGGUGAAAUUCGUAGAUAUUGGGAAGAACACCGGUGGCGAAGGCGGCUCUCUGGACCGAUACUGACGCUGAGGCGCGAAAGCGUGGGGAGCAAACAGG
rnacentral:rRNA from 1 species